UGUGUGUGUGUGUGAUUUAAUUACUGUGCUACAAAUGUUAUCACACACACACACACAUACUUGGUCAAAACACGGCCUUGUAAUCUGUAGGCUGAAGCUCAAAGUAAACAAACACAGAUGCACUAUGUAACAAACAGUGGUGUGUGUGUUUGGACAGUUAAUUUGGGCCUUAAUGACAAGUCUGUGUGACAUUGUUAUAUUUGAAUUCCUGAUUUGUCUGGAAACUAAUCAACCAUGCCAGAUACUCUGAGUGUGUUUCUCUGUCUGUCCACUAGAUGGCAGCACUAAUAUGAUCUCAUCUGAUCUCACCAUUUACACUGUAUACCGCAAUUAGGCUGAGUGUGUGUGUGUGUGUGAGAUGACAUGAGAAAAAAUAUAUUAAGAGAAACCAGUCCCCCAAAUAGAGAAUCCAUUCUAAUUUGAGUAAAUUAAGUAUGAACAUUUCAGUAUAGAGUUUUAAGUAGAGUUUUUUAAGUAGAGUAAAUUUCAGUAGAGUUUUAAGUUUCUUGUAUCUGAAGUUUAAACUGUAUAGGAGGAAAAUUGAAAAUUAAAGGUAACAGAUAGAGCUGGCUGUAGACUUCUAAUAUCUCCUCUCUUCUGUCACAGUGAGUGUAUUUUUAUACAUUACUACUGCUUGGGUAGUAGCCUCCUGGUGGUUCUUAUUGACGCGGCCCAGGUUCGAUUCCCGGGCAGAGCGCUAACCCAGCCACUGAAGAGUUAACUCUCAGUGCCGGUUCCAAGCCAGGAUUAAAUGGGAGGGUUGCAUCAGAAAGGACAUCCGGUGUAAAACCUCUGCCAAAUCAAAACAUGAGGACCAAACUCCACUGUGUUCUGCUUGGGUAGUGAUGGACUCUCAAGGUGAUCUUUGUUCAGCUAAAUUCCUUUCAAUUUGCAGUCUCUUUUUAAAUGUCAAAACUAAGAAAAGUGACAGAAAAACAAUCUGCGGUCACCAGACUCCUCCCAUUCAGUUUGAGGUUGUUUGGUGGUAGCAAAUUUCACCACCAAAAGAGGACAAUACCUUUCUAUCAACAGGGGAUAGUAACCUUGACUACCACCAGAGGACUGCUCUAACCUCAGCCCCAACAGUGGACAGUUGCCUUCUUCUCUCUGUCACAACAAUCGUAACUUGUUUAUAUCCUGAUUUUGGACUAUAAAUGUUUUAGACACAUCUCAUCAGUGUCUCUUGUUGUAUUUGUUCUAAACUACAUUAACCCUGAUACCCUUGCCUGUGUAUUUUUCACUUUUGGAUCAGUUUUUAGUCUAAUUGACAAAAUAACUUCAUAAUUGAUGCUUGAUUUUGUUUUAAAAAAUGGAUCUACAUACAUCUGAAGAGUCAGGUACAUCACAACACUGUGAACAUGAGAAAACACAAAGUGGACGUCUCACCCUUAUUCAUAAUCAUCUGAAGUAGAAUCACACAAAAAAGUGGGAAGUCAAAUUUCGCUACAUUUUGCUUUUGAUCUGAUAAACCUGACAGUGAAAAGAGCUAGGCAUCAUAAACCCAGCAUGGGAGAUCCCCAUUGUGUUGAAGUACCUUAAGACCCCCUUUAUCACCCUAUGGAAGAUGCAGAACUGAAAUCUGAAAUCUGGCUUUUUCUUAGCAAUCACACCCGGUGAAAUCAGUUCAGAGGAAAAGAGUGGAUCACCCAGUUUUGAUCCAAAACAUUCCUUGACAUGCUUGAUAUUCUCCUUUCGGCACUGUGUGAUCUCUUCUGUCUGAAUAUAUGCCUGGAUGAGGGUAGGGGACGUCAUCACCAUGGCUUGCAGAUGGACUGAAUACUUAACCCCAUAACACAUGACUCUACGAGGAGGGUCUCCUCUUCAUGGGCAUUUUUAGCAAUGUUCUGCACUAGAACGUUAUAGGUAUGAAUGCCUGUUUUUUUCAGGUUCUACAGGGUUAACCUCACACCUUCUGCAGGUUCUAGUGGGUUAACCUCACACCUUCUGCAGGUUCUAGUGGGUUAACCUCACACCUUCUGCAGGUUCUAGUGGGUUAACCUCACACCUUCUGCAGGUUCUAGUGGGUUAACCUCACACCUUCUGCAGGUUCUAGUGGGUUAACCUCACACCUUCUGCAGGUUCUAGUGGGUUAACCUCACACCUUCUGCACAUUCUACAGGGUUAACCUCAUACCUUCUGCAGGUUCUAGUGGGUUAACCUCACACCUUCUGCACAUUCUACAGGGUUAACCUCACACCUUCUGCAGGUUCUAGUGGGUUAACCUCACACCUUCUGCACAUUCUACAGGGUUAACCUCACACCUUCUGCAGGUUCUAGUGGGUUAACCUCACACCUUCUGCAUCUUCAAGUGGGUUAACCUCACACCUUCUGCAGGUUCUAGUGGGUUAACCUCACACCUUCUGCAGGUUCUACAUUCCAGAGGCAUGAGUAAAGAGAUGUUCUCUAACACCUUUCACAUUAGACCUAAGGUGAGUAUUUUAUGAUAAUGUGACAUUGAUUAGCCGGUGAAAGUUCUAGAAACUACUGUGAAACCAGCACCUUCUAAAAUACGCAAACCAGCAAAUGUAUAUUUCAUUAUUAUUAUUAUUAUUAUUAUUAUUAUUAUAAUGCAAUGUUAAUAAACUGAGUUUUAUCAUAGAGCAUUUAUUGUGAAUUCCUGAAAAUGAUCUCACACACACACACACACACCCUGUUUCUCUUAAACACUUCUUUCACAGACAGGAAGUGAUGUCGCGGCUGUUGUUUCCAUGGCAACGGAUGUAGUUGCUUAGAUACUGUCACUUCAGCCUCUUUCUCUGUUUCUCUCUCCCUCUGUUUCACUCUCUCUCUCUCUCUCUCUCUCUCUCUCUCUCUCCCUCUGUCAGUGACAUUGGAAAUAUUUUUGCAGCAUGAAUUUUCACAGGUAUGCAUAUAUAAGGACACUGUUUUGUGUGUGUGUGUGUUUGAAACAGGGCUUCAUUGUCAUCAUCAGUAUCAGUGCCCUCCAGACUGAUGACUCUAUGCACACACACACACACACACACAAUGUGUGGACGAUGCACAAGAAAAAGCAGAGAGAAAGAAACAGAUACAGAGAGAGUCAGGAAAGGGACAGGGAUGCAUUAAAAUAUGAAGUAGACAGGCAGAGAGUGAGUAAGAGAGAGAGAGAGAGAGAGAGAGAGACAUACAGAGAAACAGAUAGAGAGAGAUCGUAGGGCACGAGAGAAGGAAGGAGGAAUAUCCACUGCACUACUGUGUGACUGGAUUCUUAAUGGAGGAGAAAGUGAGAGAGAGAGCGGGGGGGAUAGAGAGAGAGAGACAGACAGAGAGAGUGAAAGAUAGGGUAAAAUUCAGGGAGCAGAAUUGGGAUGGAAGAGAAAGACAGUGUAAAAAAAAUAGACAGGAAUAAAGAGAGAUGGAAAGAGAUGUAUAUAGAACAGAGUAGGCAUCAUGGAAAAAGAGAGGAUGACAGAAAGAGAGAGAAAGAGAGAGAGAUAUUAGGAGAAAGUAGUAGGGACAGACAGUUAGACAGACAUGUAGACAAUCUUUAGUAAUGUUAUGUUUAAGACACGAUCUGAAUAAUACCAGUACAGUAGAAAACUCAUCAUUAGCAGCUGUUUAAUGAUUUCUCCUCUGUUCCUGUGAGCAUUAGGAAAUAAAACACUUAUCCCGACACGCAUGAGUAUGUUAGCUACUUAACAGAAUAACAUUAGUCAUAUUUUCAAGUAGCUAGCUAAUUAGAGAAUGUACAGCUAUUAUACUGGCAUUUAUUUCUUCAGUGAUAUGAAGUGAUGUGCUGUGGUCAGGACAGAUAGAGGAUACUGAGGAGAUAUACUGAGAUAAGGACUGUACUAGGCAUUUAUCUCAUCUACUAAUAAAUUACAGAAUUUUAAACCACAGGGAAAUAAUGAAGUGGGAAUAAAAUCCUGAUGAUAAUUAUAUUAAUUGUUGUAUUUUGAUUGAAGAUAAACAGGCAAAGGUAAAUAACCAAACUAACACCGUUAAAUUUGUUAGCUUUUUUUUAGUCUUUGCAUCAGAGGAAAUGGAGCUCUGUGUUCUCUCUUUUUCUAGCACAUUGUCCAUAAUGAGCAAGUUAAAUCUCUCUGAGACCACACGAGGAAGAAACCUUGUCAGGAACCAGACUCAACAGGGAACCCAUUCUCAUCAGGCAUUUGAACCAGUCAACCACAAGACUCUCUUGCCCACCCUCAGGAGUCCUGGAAUAUGUGAAUGGGUUGCUUCCUACCUGGAAUAUGGGAAUGGUUUGCUUCCUACCUGGAUAGUCACUCAUAUCAGGUAACAUGGAGGGGAUUGACAUCUGCUCCAUGUAGACUCUCCACUGGUGUCCCACAAGCUACCACACCCUCUGCUCAGAUCUUAGCAUGUCUGGAGGCCAUACCAUCUUGGAUGACAGCUCAUCAGCUGAAACUCAUUCCCAGCAAAACUGAACUGCUGGUCAUUCCAGAUUUCCUCUUGAGUUUGGAUCCUCUCAAGGUUCAUCCUCAUUUCAUCUCAGGGAGUUUUUCUUGCAGCAGUUGCCUUUGGUUUGCUUAUUAGGGAUAAAUAUAUAUUAAAUUUAAAACAUCUUAAUUUCUAUUCUAAAUGUAUAUAUUUCUGUAAAACUGCUUUGAGUCAAUAUCCAUUGGUAAAAACACUAGACAAAUAAAAUUUAAUAAAAUCUGUGCUGGUUUUGGACAUUCUACAAAAAUAUGACAGGGUGAAUAUUUUUGCCACAUCUGUUAUAAAUCUCGUGAAAGGUUUGGGCCACAUCAGGGCCAGAGUAGUUUUUUAUUCGGGUAGUUACUCAGAAAGUGAGACUACCUCUAUAAAAGCAGAAUAUUUGUAGUGUUCUGGAGUUUGUCUACAUUGUGCAAAAAAGGACAUCAGCCAUGACCUUAAAGAAGGAAUUGUUGUUGCUCGUCAAUCUGAGAAGUGGUUCAAUACAAUUCAGUUUUAUUUGUAUGGUGCUUUUAACCAUGGUCAUUGUCUCAUAGCAGCUUUACAGAAAAAUAAAAAUUCAGGAUAAAAAUCAGAGAGAGAGACAGUGUACAGUGUGUUCAAAGUGCAGACAGAGACUCACCAAUACUAUUCAAUUCAAUUCAAUUUAUUUUGUAUAGCGCCUUUUACAAUGACCAAUGAACAUUGUCUCAAAGCAGCUUUACAAAAGAAGAAAAACAGAGAAAGGGGAGUAGAAAAUGAAAAUAAAAAAUAACUAAACUCGAAAUAAGAAUAAAAUUAUUAAAUUAAAUUAUUAAAUUAUUUUAUCUCUAUCUAUGACUGCUAUGACUACUAUAUAUGACUGCAUGACUAAAAGGGAGACAUGAGAGCUUCCUGGGACAUAAACUGCCCAGUCACUCCACCAUCAACAAACCUGAGUAAACAUGUGAGAGUGGGGGGCUGACAGCAUCCAAACAUCCAAGGUAACCAAACACUAUGCCU